GUAACAAGGUUUCCGUAGGUGAACCUGCGGAAGGAUCAUUACUGAGUUAGGGUCUUCAUGGCCCGACCUCCAACCCUUGUGUUUAACUAUACCAUGUUGCUUCGGCGGGCCCGUCCCCUGGACCGCCGGAGGGGUCUCAUCCCCCCUCUGGCCCGUUGCCCGUCGACAGCCAUUAACCAAAAAUUCUUGACCAAACCGUGUCGUCUGAGUCUCAAUUUUUAAUCAAAAUUAAAACUUUCAACAACGGAUCUCUUGGUUCUGGCAUCGAUGAAGAACGCAGCGAAAUGCGAUAAGUAAUGCGAAUUGCAGAAUUUCAGUGAGUCAUCGAAUCUUUGAACGCAUAUUGCGCCCUUUGGUAUUCCGAAGGGCAUGCCUGUUCGAGCGUCAUUAUCACCUCUCAAGCCUGGCUUGUUGUUGGACUCCGGGUCCGGGUUCACCCCCGACCGGUCCCAAAAGUAAUGACGGCGUCCGUGGGACUCUCGGUGCAACGAGCUUUCUAAGCACGCACAGGAGUCGAAAGGUCCCCCGGCACGGUCUUCAACCCCAUUUUCUCAAGGUUGACCUCGGAUCAGGUAGGAAUACCCGCUGAACUUAAGCAUAUCAA
rnacentral:rRNA from 1 species